rnacentral:rRNA from 1 species
AUGAUUAUGGUAGCAACUUGGUACCUCUGGUGGGAUCGCCGGAAAAUUAGCCACGACGAGAAGUGUGACACCCCGGUUCGUACAACAAUGAGUAUACGGGGCAUCGUUGCUAAUGCUCUCGCUAUGAAACCAGGGGUAAAAGAUGGAAAAGUGAGGUGGGAGAGGUCUGUUAUGGGGGUCUUAAAGCUUAAUGUGGAUGCAAGUUACCAUGUUGAUGAGGGAUCAGGAGCAACGGGAGCAGUAGUUCGGGAUUGUACGGGCGCUUUUAUUGCAGGAUGUUGUUAUUAUAAACAACAUGCUAUGGAUGCAUCAUCCAUGGAGGUUCUUGCUCUACUUGAUGGCUUACGCCUAGCUGACAAUCUGGGCAUUUCAACUCUGGUAGUAGAGUCUGACUCACUAGAGAUUGUCCAAGCUAUCCUUAACCCAUCAGAUUACCGUGCUUCAGCGGCGGUUGUUACUGAUGACUGUCGAAAAUUAUUGACUGCGUUCGGCAGGGCGACUGUUGUUCAUUGUGCUCGUGAAUGUAAUGCAGCAGUGCAUGAGCUUGCUCGGGCUAGUUACAGAGGAAUUUUUUCUGAAGAGUGGCGAGAUAAACCUCCUGACUUCUUACUCCCCUUCCUUGUAACUGAUAUGGUUAUUGUUUAA